rnacentral:lncRNA from 1 species
AGCAUUAAAAGGACAGAACUGUUGAUGCUUGUAAUAAUAAUGUAUUGACAUAGGGUGGACAUGGAAACAUAAUGUUCUCUUCAAAAGUGUUUGAUACCAGAGUAAUAAUACAUAAGCAUCAUUGUCCCACAGAGCCACCACAUUUGGUGAAACUUGAAAAAUUAUAGAUCUGUUGGUGACCUUUUUUCAAAAUUUUGUGCGAAACUACACUAAGA